rnacentral:lncRNA from 12 species
GGAUCCAGGCAAUAACUUUUAUGGUGUGAGGUUCUGUUUGUUUUUUUGUCUUUGCAAUCAUAAGGAAAAGAAGGGAAGGGAAGGGAAGGGAAGGGAAGUUUCAGGGAAGGGAAGUUUCAGGGAAGGGAAGUUUCAGGGAAGUUUCAGGGAAGUUUCAGGGAAGGGAAGGGAAGGGAAGGGAAGGGAAGGGAAGGGAAGGGAAGGGAAAAAAUUGCCUGAGGAUUUAUAAAUGAAAAUGAAAUGAAUGAACUUUCCUUAAAACAGCAGAGUAUUUCACUGCAUUU